rnacentral:rRNA from 1 species
GACGAACGCUGGCGGCGUGCUUAACACAUGCAAGUCGAACGGAAAGGCCCUGCUUUUGUGGGAUGCUCGAGUGGCGAACGGGUGAGUAACACGUGAGUAACCUGCCCUUGACUUUGGGAUAACUUCAGGAAACUGGGGCUAAUACCGGAUAGGAGCUCCUGCUGCAUGGUGGGGGUUGGAAAGUUUCGGCGGUUGGGGAUGGACUCGCGGCUUAUCAGCUUGUUGGUGGGGUAGUGGCUUACCAAGGCUUUGACGGGUAGCCGGCCUGAGAGGGUGACCGGCCACAUUGGGACUGAGAUACGGCCCAGACUCCUACGGGAGGCAGCAGUGGGGAAUAUUGCACAAUGGGCAGAAGCCUGAUGCAGCAACGCCGCGUGCGGGAUGACGGCCUUCGGGUUGUAAACCGCUUUCGCCUGUGACGAAGCGUGAGUGACGGUAAUGGGUAAAGAAGCACCGGCUAACUACGUG